CUUUAAAGUUCUACAGAAGUCACGUUGUCGCAUAUUGCUGAAUGCGGGCCUCAUUAUGUCCACUAGUGGCUAUUUCAUAUGCACAUUCUGCAUUCUAAAUGGUUGAAAUAGGGGAGAUAUGGUAUUGGUGUAAGAAUAUUUUGUUAUCAUCCCAUCCCUUUGCCUAUAAUACACAGACAAUAUAAAAUAAAUAUAUAUCUAUAUAUACUUUCAUCGUUCUUCGUUAAAUUAGGAGUUACCUGGGUGAUUGAACAUUUUGUGGCAAAACAUUCUUUAGCUUUGAAAACAUUUCAG